rnacentral:rRNA from 1 species
UACGUAGGGACCAAGCGUUGUUCGGAUUUACUGGGCGUAAAGGGCGCGUAGGCGGCAAAUUAAGUCAGCUGUGAAAUCUCCGAGCUUAACUCGGAACUGUCAGCUGAUACUGAUGUGCUAGAGUGCGGAAGGGGCAAUCGGAAUUCUUGGUGUAGCGGUGAAAUGCGUAGAUAUCAAGAGGAACACCUGAGGUGAAGACGGGUUGCUGGGCCGACACUGACGCUGAGUGCGCGAAAAGCCAGGGGGAGCAAACGGG